rnacentral:tRNA from 1 species
GGGCCCAUGGUCCAGCGGUAAGACGUCGCAUUCGCAUUGCGGAAACGGCGGUUCGAGUCCGCCUGGGUCCA